UACGUAGGGUGCAAGCGUUGUCCGGAAUUAUUGGGCGUAAAGAGCUCGUAGGCGGUCUGUUGCGUCGGCUGUGAAAACCCGGGGCUCAACUCCGGGCCUGCAGCCGAUACGGGCAGACUAGAGUUCGGCAGGGGAGACUGGAAUUCCUGGUGUAGCGGUGAAAUGCGCAGAUAUCAGGAGGAACACCGGUGGCGAAGGCGGGUCUCUGGGCCGAUACUGACGCUGAGGAGCGAAAGCGUGGGGAACGAACAGG
rnacentral:rRNA from 1 species